GGACUACUCGGGUAUCUAAUCCCGUUCGCUCCCCUGGCUUUCGCGCCUCAGCGUCAGAAGAGGUCCAGCACGCCGCUUUCGCCACCGGCGUUCCUUCGGAUAUCUACGCAUUUCACCGCUCCACCCGAAGUUCCGCAUGCCCCUACCUCCCUCAAGAUGGCCAGUAUCGAAGGCAAUUUUCCGGUUGAGCCGAAAGAUUUCACCACCGACUUGACCACCCGCCUACGCGCCCUUUAAGCCCAGUGAAUCCGAACAACGUUCGCACGGUUCGUCUUACCGCGGCGGCUGGCAC
rnacentral:rRNA from 2 species